rnacentral:rRNA from 1 species
CUGGCGGCAUGCUUUACACAUGCAAGUCGAACGGUAACAGGUCUUCGGAUGCUGACGAGUGGCGAACGGGUGAGUAAUGCAUCGGAACGUGCCCAGUCGUGGGGGAUAACGCAGCGAAAGCUGUGCUAAUACCGCAUACGCACUGAGGUGGAAAGCGGGGGAUCGCAAGACCUCGCGCUAUUGGAGCGGCCGAUGGCAGAUUAGCUAGUUGGUGGGGUAAAUGCCUACCAAGGCGACGAUCUGUAGCUGGUCCUGAGAGGACGACCAGCCACACUGGGACUGAGACACGGCCCAGACUCCUACGGGAGGCAGCAGUGGGGAAUUUUGGACAAUGGGCGAAAGCCUGAUCCAGCCAUGCCGCGUGAGUGAAGAAGGCCUUCGGGUUGUAAAGCUCUUUCGGCUGGGAAGAAAUCGCACAGGCUAAUACUCUGUGUGGAUGACGGUACCAGCACAAGAAGCACCGGCUAACUACGUG